rnacentral:sRNA from 1 species
AAAGAAAUCAACUUUAUAUUCAUAUUUUGUUAUAAUUUCCAGAAAAGUACAGACCUUUGUUUUCCUCAAGACACCUGUGGACUUAAUGUUUGUCAAAAGGAUCAGACUGACCUAGCAGACUUCUCCAGUCUUGGGGAUGAAAAUCAAGAUACAGAUCCUCAUCAUUUCACCAGUGACCAGUCUAAAGUCCAGUCAGUAGAGAUUGAAGGUCCACUAAUUGGU